rnacentral:rRNA from 1 species
AUGCAGGCAAAAGAUAUCAACAAUCAACUGGAAGUUAACCCGUCAUCUCCUGCUUGUGAGCUGCAGUCGAAAUCGGCUGCUGAUGAAGCAACCAUGUCUCCUCUCCAAGAUGAUCUUAUCAUUACAAGGACGGAGUUCAAAACUCCUGAGCCAUCACAAGCUUUGGCCAAAGUGCAACUCAAGGGCGAGUCACAAGUUUCGGCCAAAGGGAAAGAAAAACUUGAGCUACCAAACUUGGAGGAGCGGAACGCUGCUGAGCUUCACGAGACUUAUUUGACUCGGCUGUCUGAGAGCCGGAAUAUGGAAGCUAGUAUGGUCAACAUGCUGAUAAGGAAAUAUGAGGUAUAUCUUGCAUCUUGA